GAUGAACGCUAGCGGCAGGCCUAACACAUGCAAGUCGAGGGAGAAGCCCUUUCGGGGGCAGAAACCGGCGCACGGGUGCGUAACGCGUAUGCAACCUACCUUUCACAGGGGGAUAGCCCGAAGAAAUUUGGAUUAAUACCCCAUAAUAUUAUUGGAUGGCAUCAUUUGAUAAUUAAAACUGCGGUGGUGAAAGAUGGGCAUGCGUCCUAUUAGCUAGUUGGAGUGGUAACGGCACCCCAAGGCUACGAUAGGUAGGGGUACUGAGAGGGAGAUCCCCCACACUGGUACUGGGACAGGGACCAUGCUCCUGCGGGAGGCAGCAGUGAGGAAUAUUGGUCAAUGGUCGGAAGACUGAGCCAGCCAUGCCGCGUGCAGGAAGAAUGCCUUAUGGGUUGUAAGCUGCUUUUAUAUGGGAAGAAUAAGGCGUACGUGUACGUUGAUGACGGUACCAUAUGAAUAAGCAUCGGCUAACUCCGUG
rnacentral:rRNA from 1 species